ensembl:lncRNA
UUUCUUGGAAUGUUCUACAUGUAUAAUCAUGCCAUAUACAAAUAGGAACAAAUUUAUUUCUCCCUUUCUAAUAUGUACAGAUAAUAUAGAUAUUUGGAAUUUAUUAUUAUUACAUCAAGAAACACUAAUGCCCAAAGAGGCCAGUCUGGUGGAAACUGUGACAAAUGGGAGCCCAGGCUGGCCAAAGAGGGCUGCAGCUACCUGGCUAUGUGGAAGUUUAAAGCCAAUCGUCAGAUUGUUAAAACAGAUAUCAAUGUGAGAUUUUCUGAUAUGUAAAUAUUGGUGAGUUACUCAAAUAUUUAAACACCUCUUAGGCCAAGCAAAAUACACCUGUGAGCAGGACUGAGCUCGCACCAGUUUGCAACCGGGCACAAAAUGGGCAUUCUGCAGACAGAAGCAGCAGUUCUGCCAGAUGUCACAGGUGGGCACUUCUCAAGGGAUGUGUUGGGGAGCACUUGCUGAUGAUUCGUCCCAGGUUCCCAGGGUGGACAAGAAGGCCUAUGGAGAUGAAGGUUAAACUGCAUCUGUAAGGCCGUCUCUGGGAUUCUCGUGGCUCAGAACCACCUGGCUGGGUGCUCCUCUUUCUCCUCAGCAGCAAAGCAGCUGUGUCUCAGGUGGCUGGGCCAGGGUGUGUGACUCCAGGGUAAUCCGUGACAGGGGCUGAUGAUAAGGAGGGGUAGAGUCAGGACUUGACAGUGGAAAAAACUUGGGAAAAUUACAGAAAGUGGCUGAGUUGUCUAUGUGCAAUAUGGGAGAUGCGGGGGGAAGGAGGGAGUAAAUGAAUAUUGAGUAAAUAUGCUGAGUAUCAUGCUAGUUUUCUCCCAACCUCCCUUCCUUUUUUUCUCCCUUCCUUUCAUGCAACAUGUAUUUAUUCAGGGCUUUCUCUGUGCCAGGCACUGUGCUAGGCACUCGCCUCUCAUUCUUUACAUUUUCCUAUAACAUAGGCAUCAUUCUCUCCAUUUCACAAAUGAGGAAACUAAAUGACCACACCUGUGGUCCCAGAUCUGUCUGACUUCAAUGACAGUGCUCUUUGUACCACAUGCACUUUGGUAUCUCACAAAGGGUGCAACAAACACCUCUGGCAUCUUCUGACAAUCUUUGGUUCCAGGAGCUCUAAUCUGGUAGGAGGAAUGUAGCAGAAGCAGAAUCCAGGUGAUUCCUGAAUCCAUAAAUCAGGCAGACCAUGACCUGCAUUGUCCAUAAAGUGGCAUGAGGCAUCCACAGGAGGGUGACCUGGGACCAACAGUCUUCUGUAAAUCCAUCUACGAAGAGGCAAGGAGGAAUCCAUAUGUGCCCUUGGGCCUUAACUGCAGUUUCAUUCAUGGUGCAAUUGGUAGUGAAGAAGCCUGGGUAUAGGGCCAAGGGAGGCUUUGCUUCUGCACCUGGAUGAGAGAUUUAACUCUUAAGACCCACUGGAUGGGGUGCGAAGUGCUGCUGGGUCACCUCCCACCUCAGACUUGACUCAGAUGAGGAAGGAUGGAUCUUGCAGACAGAUAUAUCAGGGACCUGAUACUGAGGCUCUUAGGGAGAGAUCCUGCUCAGGCUACCUACUUGUUCUGACUUCAAUCUGCUUCCUCAUGGAUGACUAAGCAAACAGUAGGAACUAAAGUGGGGAAAACAGCUUGAGGGAGAGACUAUUAAUCAGGACUCUCUGAAAUGCAAGUGACAGAAAGUCCAACUUUAACUUGCUUAAGCAAAAAAAAAAAAAAAAA